AAUGGCCUACCAAGGUUAUGAUGGUUAGCUGGUCUGAGAGGAUGAUCAGCCACACUGGAACUGAAACACGGUCCAGACUCCUACGGGAGGCAGCAGUGAGGAAUAUUGCGCAAUGGGGGCAACCCUGACGCAGCAACGCCGCGUGAGUGAGGAAGGUUUUCGGANUUGUAAAGCUCUGUCGAGCGGAAAGAAGUGCAUGGUGGUUAAUAUCCAUCAUGCUUGACGGUACCGCUAAAGGAAGCACCGGCUAACUCCGUGCCAGCAGCCGCGGUAAUACGGGGGGUGCAAGCGUUGUUCGGAAUCAUUGGGCGUAAAGCGCGUGUAGGCGGCUGGACAAGUCAGAUGUGAAAGCCCUGGGCUUAACCCAGGAAGUGCAUUUGAAACUGUUCAGCUAGAGUAAGGGAGAGGAAAGUGGAAUUCCUGGUGUAGAGGUGAAAUUCGUAGAUAUCAGGAGGAACACCGGUGGCGAAGGCGACUUUCUGGCCCUAUANCAGCAGCCGCGGUAAUACGUAGGGUGCGAGCGUUAAUCGGAAUUACUGGGCGUAAAGCGUGCGCAGGCGGUUUUGUAAGACAGGCGUGAAAUCCCCGGGCUUAACCUGGGAAUUGCGCUUGUGACUGCAAGGCUAGAGUGCGUCAGAGGGGGGUAGAAUUCCACGUGUAGCAGUGAAAUGCGUAGAGAUGUGGAGGAAUACCGAUGGCGAAGGCAGCCCCCUGGGACGUGACUGACGCUCAUGCACGAAAGCGUGGGGAGCAAACAGGAUUAGAUACCCUGGUAGUCCACGCCCUAAACGAUGUCAACUAGUUGUUGGGGAUUCAUUUUCUCAGUAACGUAGCUAACGCGUGAAGUUGACCGCCUGGGGAGUACGGUCGCAAGAUUAAAACUCAAAGGAAUUGACGGGGACCCGCACAAGCGGUGGAUGAUGUGGAUUAAUUCGAUGCAACGCGAAAAACCUUACCUACCCUUGACAUGNGCUGUCGUCAGCUCGUGUCGUGAGAUGUUGGGUUAAGUCCCGCAACGAGCGCAACCCUUGUCUCUAGUUGCUACGCAAGAGCACUCUAGAGAGACUGCCGGUGACAAACCGGAGGAAGGUGGGGAUGACGUCAAGUCCUCAUGGCCCUUAUGGGUAGGGCUUCACACGUCAUACAAUGGUCGGUACAGAGGGUUGCCAAGCCGCGAGGUGGAGCCAAUCCCAGAAAGCCGAUCGUAGUCCGGAUUGUUCUCUGCAACUCGAGAGCAUGAAGUCGGAAUCGCUAGUAAUCGCGGAUCAGCAUGCCGCGGUGAAUACGUUCCCGGGUCUUGUACACACCGCCCGUCACACCAUGGGAGUGGAAUCUGCCAGAAGUAGGUAGCCUAACCGCAAGGAGGGCGCUUACCACGGUGGGUUUCAUGACUGGGGUGAAGUCGUAACAAGGUAGCCGUAGGGGAACCUGCGGCUG
rnacentral:rRNA from 1 species